AGAGUUUGAUCCUGGCUCAGGAUAAACGCUGGCGGCGUGCCUAACACAUGCAAGUCGAACGCCCUCUCGGCAACGGGAGGGAGUGGCGGACGGGUGAGUAACACGUGGGUACCUACCCUUAAGUGAGGAAUACCGGCGAGAAAUCGCCGACAAUACCGCAUACGCUUCGCAGGAAGCAAAGCUCGGCAACGGGCGCUUGA
rnacentral:rRNA from 1 species